AGAUUUAUAAAUCUCUACAGAAUCUGAGUGUUUUAUCUCCAUAGAGAGAUCAUUCCACAAAACAGGUGCAUGAUAAGAGAAAGCUCUGUGGCCCGCAGACUUUUAUUUAC